AUUGAAUGCUGGCGGCAGGCCUAACACAUGCAAGUCGAGCGGAUGAAGGGAGCUUGCUCCUGGAUUCAGCGGAGGACGGGUGAGUAAUGCCUAGGAAUCUGCCUGGUAGUGGGGGAUAACGUCCGGAAACGGGCGCUAAUACCGCAUACGUCCUGAGGGAGAAAGUGGGGGAUCUUCGGACCUCACGCUAUCAGAUGAGCCUAGGUCGGAUUAGCUAGUUGGUGGGGUAAAGGCCUACCAAGGCGACGAUCCGUAACUGGUCUGAGAGGAUGAUCAGUCACACUGGAACUGAGACACGGUCCAGACUCCUACGGGAGGCAGCAGUGGGGAAUAUUGGACAAUGGGCGAAAGCCUGAUCCAGCCAUGCCGCGUGUGUGAAGAAGGUCUUCGGAUUGUAAAGCACUUUAAGUUGGGAGGAAGGGCAGUAAGUUAAUACCUUGCUGUUUUGACGUUACCAACAGAAUAAGCACCGGCUAACUUCGUG
rnacentral:rRNA from 1 species